UAUUCCCUGACACUCCCAGGGUGCCCCAUGCGAGGUCUGUGACCCCAGGGAGGACCCCAGGAUCCUGGCCCAAGGGGAGACAGACCUUCCCAGACCUAAGAGGCCAGGAUGGAGCCAGAGAUACAGACAGGGGGCUCGGAGACCCUAGGACACAGAACAGUGAAGAGCCCGAGGCUAUUUGGGGGCUGCACUGGAGAUGGGGUGUCUGCAAUGGGUUUUGAAGUAUGAAUAAGAGAUUCUGGGGGGAGACAGUCUCUCCAGCCGGAGGAACGCCUACACCCCCCGACUCAUUUAAUCUGCAAACGACUGUGAGACGGAAGCGCUGUCACCUCACAGACGGGCAGGGCAGCCGGCAGAGCUGGGGCGUCCCUCGCCCCUCAAGACCUUCAUGAAGGAAGGGACGGCACCGCCUCGAAUGGCAGGGCCCCGAGAGGCCGAGCCGCACCUGCUGUCCCCUUGGCCCCCCGUUCCACAUCCAGGAAUCCCGUCCUGGCGUUGGAUGGCCCAACCAACGACGUCAGCUGCAAUGAUCCUAUUCUGGAAUGCUGAGAUUUGAUUAAAGCGCUUCCCCCACGGACGCCACUGUCACACGCAAGGUGCAACUGGAACCUGCUUCAGAAGCCGCGGCGUGGAGGGGGUCCUGGGGUCAGGGGAGGGACAGAGGGCCAGGGCCCCGAGGGCUCCCCUCCCGGCUUGUGACGGGAUCAAAAGAGGUGUCCGCUGCACACUGCCCCCCCCACGCGUGCACGUGGGUUUUCCGGGGCAGGUGGAGACAGGAGACAGGACAGCUGUCUCGCCGUGACCCCGCAGCAGCUGCCUGGCCCCCCGGCGCAGGGUGAGGUGCGCGGGUGCAGAGACGCGGG
rnacentral:lncRNA from 1 species